rnacentral:tRNA from 1 species
GUUUUUAUAGCUUACUUAGAGUAUUUCAGUGAAGUUGAAAAGGAAAUUUAUAUUUAAAAACA